rnacentral:rRNA from 1 species
UACAGAGGUCUCAAGCGUUGUUCGGAUUCAUUGGGCGUAAAGGGUGCGUAGGUGGCGAGGUAAGUCGGAUGUGAAAUCUCAGGGCUCAACCCUGAAACUGCAUUCGAUACUGCCUUGCUCGAGGACUGGAGAGGAGAUUGGAAUUCACGGUGUAGACAGUGAAAUGCGUAGAUAUCGUGAGGAAGACCAGUGGCGAAGGCGGAUCUCUGGACAGUUCCUGACACU